UAUCUCUGUAGAGUCUGCAUAUCAAUAAGCGGAGGAAAAGAAACUAACUAGGAUUCCCUCAGUAACGGCGAGUGAAGCGGGAAGAGCUCAAAUUUGAAAUCUUCGAGGUUCUACCUUGACGAAUUGUAGUUUAAAGAAGUGUUUUCUGUUGGAGUUUUGGUAAAAGUUCUUUGGAAUAGGACAUCAUAGAGGGUGAGAAUCCCGUAUUUGACCAUUAUUUCCAGCUUUGUGAUACACUUUCAAAGAGUCGGAUUGUUUGGGAAUGCAGUCCAAAAUGGGUGGUAAAUUUCAUCUAAAGCUAAAUAUUGGCGAGAGACCGAUAGCGAACAAGUACCGUGAGGGAAAGAUGAGAAGAACUUUGAAAAGAGAGUUAAACAGUACGUGAAAUUGUCAAAAGGGAAGCGUUUAACACCAGUGUUGUUUUCUCGAAAAUCAAUUAAAAAAAGUUGGAUUUUGUAUUGUUAAGACCUUAUCAGCUUACUGUACUCUUUUCUUGCUUUUUUUAAUGCACUUUUCGUUUAACAAGUCAACAUCAAUUUCUUUUGUUGUAAAAGAGUCAUUGGAAGGUGGCUUUCACUUCGGUGAAAGUGUUUAUAGCCUUUGGCUUCUGCAAUCGGAGAGAUUGAGGUCUGCAGCGUAGAUCCUUCGGGGCUAGAUACGUAGAUGCUAAGUUAUAGUUUUUUAUAGACAACUUGUUGACUAUAAUUAAUCAUGUAGCUUACUCGUUUGCGCUAUUUUACCUACGCUUAGGAUGUUGACGAUCAGCUGAGCGCG
rnacentral:rRNA from 1 species